rnacentral:rRNA from 1 species
GUGCCAGCAGCCGCGGUAAUACGGGGGGGGCAAGCGUUGUUCGGAAUUACUGGGCGUAAAGGGUUCGUAGGUGGCUUGUUAAGUCAGACGUGAAAUCCCUCGGCUCAACCGGGGAACUGCGUCUGAGACUGAUGAGCUCGAGUGCAGGAGAGGAACGCGGAAUUCCAGGUGUAGCGGUGAAAUGCGUAGAUAUCUGGAGGAACACCGGUGGCGAAGGCGGCGUUCUGGACUGCAACUGACACUGAGGAACGAAAGCCAGGGGAGCAAACGGGAUUAGAUACCCCGGUAGUCC